rnacentral:rRNA from 1 species
AACGAACGCUGGCGGCAGGCCUAACACAUGCAAGUCGAGCGGGGACUUCGGUUCUAGCGGCGGACGGGGGAGUAACGCCUGGGAAUGUGCACUUCUCUACGGAAUAGCCCUGGGAAACUGGGCUUAAUACCGUAUACGCUCUAUUGGGGAAAGAUCUAUCGGUGAAGGAUCAGCGCGCGUUGGAUUGGGUAGUUGGUGGGGGAAUGGCCUGCCAAUCCGUCGAUGCAUGGCUGGUUUGUUAGGAUGCUCUACUACGCUGGGACUGAGACACGGCCCAGACCGCGACGGGAGGGAGGAGUGGGGAAUCUUAUACAAUGAGGGCAACUCUGAUCUAGCCAUGCCGCGUGUGAGAUGAAGGCCUUAGGGUUGUAAAUUUCUCUCAGCUGAGAAGUGAGUGACGGUACUAGCAGAAGAAGCCCCGGCUAACUCCGUG